GACGAACGCUGGCGGCGGGCUUAACACAUGCAAGUCGAACGGAAAGGCCCUGCUUGCGUGGGGUGCUCGAGUGGCGAACGGGUGAGUAACACGGGAGUAACCUGCCCUUGACGUUGGGAUAACCUCAGGAAACUGGGGCUAAUACCGGAUAGGAGCGCCUGCUGGAUGGGGGGGGUUGGAAAGUUUCGGCGGAUGGGGAUGGAGGCGCGGGUUAUUAGCUUGUUGGUGGGGGAGUUGCUUACCAAGGCAUUGGCGGGUAGGCGGCCUGAGAGGGUGAACAGCCACAUUGGGACUGAGGUACGGCCCAGACUCCUACGGGGGGCAGCAGUGGGGAAUAUGGCACAGUGGGCGGAAGCGUGAUGCAGCAGCGCCGCGUGCGGGAUGACGGCCUUCGGGUUGUAAACCGCUUUCGCCUGUGACGAAGCGGGAGUGACGGUAAUGGGUAAAGAAGCACCGGCUAACUACGUG
rnacentral:rRNA from 1 species